rnacentral:lncRNA from 1 species
CAGCUCCCAGGCUCCGUGCUGGGCCUGGCUGGCCAAGGGAGGAACCCGCACGCCUCCCUGUGCCUGAAGCAGGAGAGGAGGCUGCUGACUAAGGAGCUCUGUGUGUUGAGGCCUGAGGUCCUCAGGGAGGUUCAAAUAUGAAGCCUGUGAGUGACAGGGGGCCCUUGGAGAGGGAAAGGGGGAGUCGUGUGUAUCUGCUUCUCCUGGAAACCCUGGGACCAGGUCUCCCCCUUCCUGCCCCCUGGAUGUCCUUGAAGCUAUUUUUAUGUGUUGCUGGAAACCAGAAUUACAGCCACAGCCAGAGCUCGGGAGGUUCCUGUGCGUACGGAUCCUGCCCAGGGGAGCAGGCUGGUGGAGCUGGUCCAGGAGCCCCACCGUGCAGGCGGGCAGUCUGGGUCCCCGUCCUAUGAGCUUGGAGGUCACGGUGGCACAAGGUGAGGGACAGGACUUGGAGCAGCUGUGGUAAGGGGCCGUGAUCCUGGGGUUCUUGAGCCUGCAUGAAAAUCCAGAACACACCAGAAAUUCAAGAAUCCACUCACCACUGGCCCCUUCCACCGCGGUAUAUUUAAGUGAGAGCUUCCAGCUGCAGACAGAGGGUCACCUACAAAACACACGGAGCCCUGCUCUCAAGGCACCCCCAAAUCCAACUGCUCCGCUCUGACUCAAAAUCCUCCCGCGGCUCCCCAGGGCCCCCUGAAGAUGGUGCCGUCUUUAUACUGUGCUGGGGACAAGUCUCAGGAGCGUUCCCUGCCACCUAGGCCUCCCGAGGAUCCUGACCCGCGGUCUUCAGCUCUCUUCCGCCUGGCCAGCAGCUUUCAUGGGGUGACGAGAGACAAGGUGGAGGGCAGGACCACAGAGGAGGAGGGAAGGGGCGCCGGGUGCAGACUGGUCUGUUCUUGUUUGGGUAGGGGCCAGGAAAACAGGAGGCCAAGAAGCAGAGUCACCGGUCCCACUGACACCGGUCCCACCAUGGGCCGAGCUACAUGGAGAACCAAGGGCAGCCUGAGGCUCUGGGGGGCGUGCAGGAGCCCACGGGGAGGGAGGUCUGAGGAGCCCUGCUCAAGGGCAUAACUUGGUCUCCCCUUAAUAUUCUUUGCAUGACGUGAAAAAUACUGAAAAUCCCUAUAAAGAAUGUUGGGUUGCUGUCCUUCCUGAGCUCGUUAAUGAGCCUCUGCAGCAACGGGCCACACGGACCUCAGGAAUUACUUGGGUUACAUCCCUGGGGCUUCCAGGGCUCCCUGGGAUCGGGGACCUGGAGAUGCCCAGAUCUUCUAUUUUCUCGACCACCAUUUUUUCUCCCCCCUCCCCCAUCCCUUUUCUACACUUGACCUUCCAGCUGGGCUGGUUCCUCUGGCCUCUCCCAAAAGCCUGGUUCCCCUCUUCCCCAUCUGGGCUAUGACAGUUGCCUAGAACCUACUCACAUUGGGUUGUCCCUUUUGUCUCCCUGGUCCCCUCCCCUGGUCACCUGUUUGGCAUGCUCAGACUAUUUUUCGU